AACGGAAAGGCCCUGCUUGCAGGGUACUCGAGUGGCGAACGGGUGAGUAACACGUGGGUGAUCUGCCCUGCACUUCGGGAUAAGCCUGGGAAACUGGGUCUAAUACCGGAUAGGAGCCAUUUUUAGUGUGAUGGUUGGAAAGUUUUUUCGGCGUAGGAUGAGCUCGCGGCCUAUCAGCUUGUUGGUGGGGUAAUGGCCUACCAAGACGGCGACGGGUAGCCGGCCUGAGAGGGUGGACGGCCACAUUGGGACUGAGAUACGGCCCAGACUCCUACGGGAGGCAGCAGUGGGGAAUAUUGCACAAUGGGCGCAAGCCUGAUGCAGCGACGCCGCGUGGGGGAUGACGGCCUUCGGGUUGUAAACUCCUUUCGCUAGGGACGAAGCUUUUUGUGACGGUACCUAGAUAAGAAGCACCGGCUAACUACGUGCCAGCAGCCGCGGUAAUACGUAGGGUGCGAGCGUUGUCCGGAAUUACUGGGCGUAAAGGGCUCGUAGGUGGUUUGUCGCGUCGUCUGUGAAAUUCNCGGGGCUUAACUCCGGGCGUGCAGGCGAUACGGGCAUAACUUGAGUACUGUAGGGGUAACUGGAAUUCCUGGUGUAGCGGUGAAAUGCGCAGAUAUCAGGAGGAACACCGAUGGCGAAGGCAGGUUACUGGGCAGUUACUGACGCUGAGGAGCGAAAGCAUUGGGUAGCGAACAGGA
rnacentral:rRNA from 1 species